CCUAACACAUGCAAGUCGAACGGUAACAGGAAACAGCUUGCUUUUUUGCUGACGAGUGGCGGACGGGUGAGUAAUGUCUGGGAAACUGCCUGAUGGAGGGGGAUAACUACUGGAAACGGUAGCUAAUACCGCAUAACGUCGCAAGACCAAAGAGGGGGACCUUCGGGCCUCUUGCCAUCAGAUGUGCCCAGAUGGGAUUAGCUAGUAGGUGGGGUAACGGCUCACCUAGGCGACGAUCCCUAGCUGGUCUGAGAGGAUGACCAGCCACACUGGAACUGAGACACGGUCCAGACUCCUACGGGAGGCAGCAGUGGGG
rnacentral:rRNA from 1 species